rnacentral:lncRNA from 1 species
UUGCCCUUAUACCGGUGACAUCUCAUCCUUGGCUUCCCCUGGAAAGUCUUUUCUAGAUUUCCCCAGCGGAGUUGUAUUGCUAUUUGUGUUGCUGUAUUGGUGUUAUCCCCAGUACGUGCAUUUCGUGAGUCAGCUUGAGUCGUUUCCAAUGAGAGUUUUCCUUUGGAAUUGCUUCUCUCCCCAGUGAGUCCUUUACUUCCCCAGUGAGGUCUCCAG